GAUCAUGGCUCAGGAUGAACGCUAGCUACAGGCUUAACACAUGCAAGUCGAGGGGCAUCAGUUUGGUUUGCUUGCAAACCAAAGCUGGCGACCGGCGCACGGGUGAGUAACACGUAUCCAACCUGCCGAUAACUCGGGGAUAACCCUUCGAAAGAAGGCCUAAUACCCGAUGGCAUAUCCCUUCCGCCUGGUUGGGAUAUUAAAGAACUUCGGUUAUCGAUGGGGAUGCGUUCCAUUAGCUUGUUGGCGGGGUAACGG
rnacentral:rRNA from 1 species